rfam:Rattus norvegicus chromosome 15, whole genome shotgun sequence.
GGGGAUUUGGCUCAGUGGUAGAGCGCUUGCCUAGGAAGCACAAGGUCCUGGGUUCAAUCCCCAGCCCCG